rnacentral:miRNA from 1 species
CUUAAGGUCGAAUUUCAGAUAAACAAGAAAUUUUUUUAGUAUAAGUAUGUUCCAUGUACUAUUUGGAACAUACUUAUACUAAAAAUGUAUUUGUCGUUUAUCUGAAAUUUAAAUUAAACUGAGCAUCUUAUAUUUU